rfam:Amborella trichopoda AMTR_V1.0_contig_29386, whole genome shotgun sequence.
CCCACACCCAUGUGUGUAGGACCCCAAAGGAUCACCAUCAAAUUUGGCACAGAUCUCUAGAAAAGUUAUCACAUGGGUGUGGAACUUGACUUUUCUAGAUAUCUGUGCCAAAUUUAAUGGUAAUCUUUUAGGGUCCUACACACAUGGGUGCGAG